UACGAAGGGGGGCUAGCGUUGCUCGGAAUCACUGGGCGUAAAGCGCACGUAGGCGGAUUGCUAAGUCAGGGGUGAAAUCCUGGAGCUCAACUCCAGAACUGCCUUUGAUACUGGCGAUCUUUGAGUCCGGGAGAGGUGAGUGGAACUGCGAGUGUAGAGGUGAAAUUCGUAGAUAUUCGCAAGAACACCAGUGGCGAAGGCGGCUCACUGGCCCGAUACUGACGCUGAGGCACGAAAGCGUGGGGAGCAAACAGG
rnacentral:rRNA from 1 species